GAAGGACCUGCACCUUCG
rnacentral:miRNA from 1 species